rnacentral:rRNA from 1 species
GACGUAGGGCGCGAGCGUUGUCCGGAUUUAUUGGGCGUAAAGAGCUCGUAGGCGGCUUGUCGCGUCGACCGUGAAAACUUGGGGCUCAACCCCAAGCCUGCGGUCGAUACGGGCAGGCUCGAGUUCGGUAGGGGAGACUGGAAGUUCCUGGUGUAGCGGUGAAAUGCGCAGAUAUCAGGAGGAACACCGAUGGCGAAGGCAGGUCUCUGGACAGUUCCUGACGCUGAGGCACGAAGGCCAGGGGAGCAAACGGG